UAAGACAGAGGCCUCGAGCGUUAGGCGGAAUCACUGGGCUUAAAGCGUGUGUAGGCGGAAGCGUAAGUACCUUGUGAAAUCCCACGGCUCAACCGUGGAACUGCUGGGUAUACUGCGUUUCUUGAGCAAUCUAGGGGCGAGUGGAACGGAUGGUGGAGCGGUGAAAUGCAUAGAUAUCAUCCGGAACGCCUGUGGUGAAGACGACUCGCUGGGGAUUUGCUGACGCUGAGACACGAAAGCCAGGGGAGCAAACGGGAUUAGAUACCCCGGUAGUCCUGGCCCUAAACGAUGUCCACUAGACUGCAGUGGCUCUGACGCCGUUGCGGUCGAAGCAAAAGUGUUAAGUGGACCGCCUGGGAAGUACGGUCGCAAGGCUA
rnacentral:rRNA from 1 species